rnacentral:rRNA from 1 species
GUGGGGAAUAUUGGGCAAUGGGCGCAAGCCUGACCCAGCAACGCCGCGUGAAGGAAGAAGGCUUUCGGGUUGUAAACUUCUUUUACCAGGGACGAAACAAAUGACGGUACCUGGUGAAUAAGCCACGGCUAACUACGUGCCAGCAGCCGCGGUAAUACGUAGGUGGCGAGCGUUAUCCGGAUUUAUUGGGUGUAAAGGGCGUGUAGGCGGGACAGCAAGUCAGAUGUGAAAACCAGAGGCUCAACCUCUGGCCUGCAUUUGAAACUGUUGUUCUGGGGUGUCGGAGAGGGAAUCGGAAUUCCGUGUGUAGCGGUGAAAUGCGUAGAUAUACGGAGGAAGACCAGUGGCGAAGGCGGAUUACUGGACGAUAACUGACGCUGAGGCGCGAAAGCGUGGGGAGCAAACAGGAUUAGAUACCCCAGUAGUCC